AGUCGAACAAUGCAACACCAGUUCUGGGUGAAAUCGCACUUUGUUUGUAACGCGAGAAACACAAUUUAACCGGUAUUUUAUCCGACUAACACCAUACAGGGGUUUAGUGAGCACUUGAGAAACGGUGCGAAGUAGUUUUAGAGAAAUCUGCACAUGAAUUCUACCGGAUUGGCCAUCAUCAAGCGAAAUUUGGAAAAUUGUGACUGCAGUGACAGUGAAUAUUUUGAAAACAAAGUGCCAGGCCAGUGAAAACUAAUAGAUAUCAAUAAAAAUCAGCAAAACAACAAA